rnacentral:rRNA from 1 species
CCUACGGGAGGCAGCAGUGGGGAAUUUUGGACAAUGGGCGCAAGCCUGAUCCAGCCAUUCCGCGUGAGUGAAGAAGGCCUUCGGGUUGUAAAGCUCUUUUACCCGGGAUGAUAAUGACAGUACCGGGAGAAUAAGCUCCGGCUAACUCCGUGCCAGCAGCCGCGGU